rnacentral:rRNA from 1 species
AGUGAACGCUGGCGGUAGGCCUAACACAUGCCAGUCGAACGGCAGCACAGUAAGAGCUUGCUCUUACGGGUGGCGAGUGGCGGACGGGUGAGGAAUACAUCGGAAUCUACUUUUUCGUGGGGGAUAACGUAGGGAAACUUACGCUAAUAUCGCAUACGAUCUACGGUUGUAAGCAGGGGAUCUUCGGACCUUGCGCGAUUGGACGAGCCGGUGUCGGGUUAGAUAGUUGGCGGGGUAAUGACCCACCAAGUCGACGAUCCGUAGCCCGUCUGAGAGGAGGAUCACCCACACUGGAACGUAACCAGGGUCCUGACGCCUACGAUACGGAGCAGUGGGGAAUAUUAGACAAUGGGCGCAAAUCUGAUCCAGCCAUACCGCGUGUGUUGAGAAAACCUUCGGUUUGUGAAGCCCUUUUGUUGGGAAAGAAAAGCAGCAGGUUAAUACCCCGCUUUUCUGACGGUACCCAAAGAAUAAGCACCGGCUAACUUCGUG